AUGUAUUGAUUCCCUCUCUGAUAAGUAGUCCUUUGAUAUGAACCAGCCUUGUGUUCCAAUAUUAUAUAAAAAGAGGCAUUAAUACCCAUCCACAGAUUAAUACUCCAGCCUCAUUUUUAUCAUAUUUAGAAUGGGACAAGCACAGUCUUCCAAUCAAGCCUAAACAUGGUUUGCGAUCAAGGGGACCCCACAGAAUCUGUUCGGUAACUGAACAGAGGGAACAAUUCCAUCCAAAUGCAGGGAAAAAUCUGACGAUACAAUGUAUAAUUAAGGGAACACGUACGAGGAGUCCCAUCUCCCGUGACAGGGGUGUCCCAGCGGUUAGUGCUCUACUGUCUAUCUCUUUACACAGCAUAAAUCCAUCUGUCUCUUUAGAUGCUGUGUGGCUGUCUCAUUAGAUCAUUUCUCUUUACAUGGCAUAGUCCAAUUGUCUCUUAACAUGGAAUUUGGCUGUCUCCUUACACCUUGUCUCUUUUACAAUGCACAGUCCUGGCUGUCUCAGACCGUGUCUCUUUACACGGCAUUUGGCUGUCUCAGACCGUGUCUCUUUACACGGCAUGUGGCUGUCUCUUUACACAGAGUAUGGUUUGAAUUCCCACAGAUUCUGAGUAAAGAACCUUACGUUACAAUGUCAGAAUUUCUGGACAACAAGUGAAGGAUAAGCAGGGGGCCAUUCUAUACUCCUGCACCCAGGAGGUGACUUUGUGGAUGUGUCCCUCCCACAUGGUUACAGAGAACAAUACUCCCUCAAAUGAUCUGCUCAAUGUUAUUCCAAGCACCCGGCACUAAACUAACCUCAGCAAGGGCGAAUCCACCUGGUUAUGGUGCAAGGAAGCUGUUCCUGAAUCAUAUUUCUAAAUCCAUCAUGUUUUCAUGUUUAACUUUAAGAGACACUAUAACCACCAGAACAUGUAGUAAUUACCGGCAGGCUUUUUAUUUUUUUACAGAAAGGGCAGUGUUUACAUUGCUGCCUAUGAACACCUCUAGAUCCUGUUGCUCAGACGGCCACUAGAGGAGCUUCCUGGGUUAUUGCUGCACAUUGUUGUUCAAAGUCCACACGCUGUGCAUGGAGACACUGAACAUUGAUUCGAUGUAUCACUAUGAGGAGCUGCUGAUUGGCGCAGAGUGGCAUUUUGCAACAUUUACGCUUUAGCUUUCCAAUUCAAUUCUGAUGAUCACAGCCAAGGAGGUGUUUUGGGGACAGGGCCAGCGCCAUCAAACUCACGUGGCGCUGGAAAAAAGGUGAGGUUGAAUUCUUUUUAAGGGGGGGGGGCAAGCCACAUAAACAUGUUUUAUAAGAUCAGGAAUACAAAUUCCUCUCUGUCGGUUUUGAUUUUGAGAAGGAAGUCCCGGAUUAUUUACUAAACUGAUUGUCAAGACUCAAAGUUUAUUUCGAAGUUUAGGUUAAAAUAUUGACUUAUAACAAUAAGUUUUUUUUUAAACACAACGGAGAAGUGGCAUUGUGCUUUAAGUUUAACAGCUAAAGUGUCAAUUAAACAAACCAAUUAAAUACAAAAUGAAUCUCUGUGGUCAAACAGCCACUACUCCUCAUGUGUUCCAUAUUAAGGGUUAAUAAGUGUGUAGGUGUUUAGAAAUAUACCCCUCUCUGAAAAGCAGCAAGGUGAAUUGUCGGUGUAGGACUCGCCUAAGAGGUUUUGCCUUGACUUGGCAGGUGAGCUUACACGUUAAUGGCUAUUGGAGUGAUACUAAACCUCCAGUUAUUUAGACGUGCGUAGGGAUUUGGGAUAGCGCCCAGGUAAUUUUUUUUCUUUUGGUUUUUAGACUCAUAUUUGCCUUGGAUUUUAUUAAUUGGCAUGAAACGAGUGCCAGCGCACACACACAGCCAAAUCGGCUAUUUGUGUUGGGUGUCAAACAUUCCCCCUCCCCCUGCUUGAAUUCAGGUGCCCUGCUGAGUUCCUGAUUCACCAGCUAAAAGCCAAAUUGCAUUACAAUGAUAAUUCCUCUACUUUGCCUAUUCCUCCCCCCCAUUCUAGUCCCAGCUGCAGCCGAUGUGCUCCCAGCCAUCAGUCUCUCCCUCCCGUCUGACUUGUCUAAAGCUCGAAUGAGAUUGGUGCUGUCAUUACAGUAAUUCUUUUACUCAUUUGUAAACUAAACACUUUCAUUAGUGAAUUAAAAAAUACAAUUGCAAACUGUCAGAAAACUAUCCAAGCCUGCUGCCACCCCAGUUUAGCUAUUUCAGUCAGUAUCUGGUUUGGAAAACAUAUUCCUUGGUUUACUUUAAUACUUUACUAUUAUAAAUAUUUCAAUUCUUGCAAACUGCUGUUAUUUGGAAACCUCAGAGUCUAUUCGAUAAACACUGACUUGUGCGGAGUUCAUAAAUUACCUAAAAAAAUAUUGUUUUGUGGAUAACUACAUCAAUUCCUAUUAACUGAUAUCAUUUAUAGUUCGCACUGUGGGUAGUAAAUAAAGAGCUGAGUAAAAAUAAACUGGCAGUACGUAAAAUACGUGGGACGGUUUUAUAGCUGCAGUUAAAAUACACUGUGUGCAGGGAGACAGGGGACCUCCUUACACCAUAACCUUAUAGCUACAGUUAUAAUACACUGUGUGCAGGAAGACAGGGGACCUUCUUACACCAUAACCUUAUAGCUGCAGUUAUAAUACACUGUGUGUGGGGAGACAGGGGACCUCCUUACACCAUAACCUUAUAGCUGCAGUUAUAAUACACUGUGUGCGGGGAGACAGGGGACCUCCUUACACCAUAACCUUAUAGCUGCAGUUAUAAUACACUGUGUGCGGGGAGACAGGGGACCUCCUUACACCAUAACCUUAUAGCUGCAGUUAUAAUACACUGUGUGCAGGAAGACAGGGGACCUUCUUACACCAUAACCUUAUAGCUGCAGUUAUAAUACACUGUGUGCAGGGAGACAGGGGACCUCCAUACACCAUAACCUUAUAGCUGCAGUUAUACACUGUGCGGGGAGACAGGUGACCUCCUUACACCAUAAUCUUAUAGCUGCAGUUAUAAUACACAAUGUGCAGGGAGACAGGGGACCUCCUUACACCAUAACCUUGUAGCUGCAGUUAUAAUACACUGUGUGCGGGGAGACAGGGGACCUCUUUACACCAUAACCUUAUAGCUGCAGUUAUAAUACACUGUGUGCAGGGAGACAGGGGACCUCCUUACACCAUAACCUUAUAGCUGCAGUUAUAAUACACUGUGUGCGGGGAGACAGGGGACCUCCUUACACCAUAACCUUAUAGCUGCAGUUAUAAUACACAAUGUGCAGGGAGACAGGGGACCUCCUUACACCAUAACCUUGUAGCUGCAGUUAUAAUACACUGUGUGCGGGGAGACAGUGAGACACUGUGUGCUUUUACACCAUAACCUUAUAGCUGCAGUUAUAAUACACUGUGUGCAGGGAGACAGGGGACCUCCUUACACCAUAACCUUAUAGCUGCAGUUAUAAUACACUGUGUGCAGGGAGACAGGGGACCUCCUUACACCAUAACCUUAUAGCUGCAGUUAUACACUGUGCGGGGAGACAGGGGACCUCCUUACACCAUAACCUUAUAGCUGCAGUUAUAAUACACUGUGUGCAGGGAGACAGGGGACCUCCUUACACCAUAACCUUAUAGCUGCAGUUAUAAUACACUGUGUGCGGGGAGACAGGGGACCUCCUUACACCAUAACCUUAUGGCUGCAGUUAUAAUACACUGUGUGCGGGGAGACAGGGGACCUCCUUACACCAUAACCUUAUAGCUGCAGUUAUAAUACACUGUGUGCGGGGAGACAGGGGACCUCCUUACACCAUAACCUUAUAGCUGCAUUUAUAAUACACUGUGUGCGGGGAGACAGGGGACCUCCUUACACCAUAACCUUAUGGCUCCCGUUAUAAUACACUGUGUGCGGGGAGACAGAGGACUUCCUUACACCAUUCCCUGAACCUAAGGAGAGCAAGUCGAGUGUGUUCUCGCUAUGCUUGCCAGUGACCGUUCCCUGGUGUCCCCAAAAGUGUGACAUUCGAGACAGCACAAAUUGGGACACUGCCGCCAAAAAUGACAAAGUUGAGAGGCAUACAGACAGACAUACAUACAUACACACAGUUAAUUUUGCUUACCUUUUUUUUGCAGGAGGGUGGCUGUGGCUGAUGGGAGUCGGUGUGGCUCCCGCGGCUUGGCUCUCUUCCUUCCCGCGUGGAGGGAGCUGGGAGGAAAUGAUCACCGGCUGUCACUUCCUCCCAGCAGUAUUUGUGGCUGCGCUGUUGCACGGCCGCAGCGCUGACCGGGCCCCUGAAGAUAUAGGGCCCAUCUGGUGGCCCUGAGUGCUUGGGCUGGGUUCAGGAUCCAGCUCGCGGGCCGUAGUUUGAAGACCCCUGCUAUAGGCAUUGAGACACCUUCAUCUGAGUGAUGUCACUCGUUUUAACGUUAUGAAACACUGCUGAUCUGCAGGAUGGCAAUGUUUACAUUACAAGAUUUAAAUGCCUUUAGUGGAUAUCACUCUGGCAAGCAAGUGGAAUUCACAGAUUCCAUCUGAUUAGCGCAGGGCUGUGCUUUGCUUUUCUAUGGCAAAGCAUUGGAUUGGCUGAGAUCAUCAAGAUUGACAAUCUCUGCCACAGAGGCGGGGCCCGCCAUGGAGAGCAGCGCAGUGUGGGAUAACAGGUAAGUUUACUUUAAUACUUUUAACCCAUGCAUAGGAGAUUGACCUAUGUGGCGACUAGGACACUAUGGCAUUAGAAAUACACAUAUCUCUUCCUACAGUAUUCCUUUGAUGUAGGCAUUGUUUGUAUUGAACACAUUAACUAAAGGCAGGUGUUUGUAGUAUUUGUUCUGCUCAUCUGCACAUACACAAAACCAUUGUUUUCAGUGAUUUAUCAAGUCCUUUUGGCUGUUAAAUGAAAUAAGAGAAAUGGUUUUGUUGUGUAGAUAAAUCUUCGGAGUAAUUGUGAUAGCUUUAAUAAAUUCACAGUUUAUGGAGGAGAAACAACCCUCACUCACUAUGUAAAAAUUGCUACAGCUCUACCCCCACCCCUCAGAGCUGUCAAUCAUACAGCCGGGAUGAUUAGUUCCAGUUCCGUGAUAUCGGUUUUGUUCACAAUAUUAUGUUCAGGGUGCUGUAGUGGUUAUGGUGUGUGGAGCGUACCUUUAAACUGGAUUAUUUGUCCCCUAUAAUUUCCCAUUAGGUUUGACUUGUUAAUAUCAUUUAGAGAGCCGUUUAUUUUGAAUCAGUAACAACAAAAAAGUGUUGUUGAAAUGUAUUGGAAUGGUGCGUUUGUGAUCGUGGCAGUUUUAAAUGUAAUUAUCAGGUGAUUCUGUGCUUUUAAUGAACACUCCAUCAUAUCACACUGUAUUUUCCAUUUACAUACUACACUACGUCACAAAAUAUUUUAAUUUCUUUACACAUAUUUGUUCAUAUUUUAGAUAGAAUUAGCAUUCGGCUGUAGUUUGGAUUACGGUUUCCCAGCUGUAAUAAAUAUAAUAAGUAAAGCUUGUCCUGUAAUUAAUUUAUCCUGCAGUUUCAGGGGACGUGCACGUUGACAAGUAAAGUCCCCAAUGGUGCAUCUAGGCCGGGUUGGCAAAACAGAGCAGAACUUUAACAUGAAAAAUGGCUGAACACUCAAAGAGAAAUCAAAGAGAGUGCGCAUUCUUUGUUGACUUAAAGCAACGCUUCGACUCGCUGAAUGCUGGAGGCUUGAUAAAGUCAAUAAAGAGUGCGCACUAAUUCUUCGCUGAGUGGACUUACAAUACAUAAUACAUGGUAAGCGUGUACACAGUGUAACAAUCAAUGCAUGUGGUUCCAUACCGCUAUCUACGAUUCCAAGGUUUUCCACAAUGGAAUGCGUUUGUCUGCACAGAAUCUAUAAAUUAAUAAUCGCAGGUCCCAGAUUGUUUUAUUUGUUUUUAAUUGCGUCGCAGGAAGAAGUGGUGUGCCUUAAAGCAAACAUGGUAGGGCAGAGGGCCUGCCUGUGACAGAUCAAAUAAAUGGGGCAGCUCCGUCCGCCCCAGAAACAAUAAAAUCUGCAGGAUCCAGAGGGGGGAAACAGCAGCCUGUGACGAGAGCAAUUCAAUUAGCGUCAGCCCUUAGCCCCGUGCAGGGGGCGAUAAUUCGAUUACAGGAGGCAGGCUGCUCCGCGCACAGCUCAGCAAGCUCUGCAGAGACAGACAAUGGCAGAUCCAAGCAAGACAAAUAAAUCCUCCUCUUAUUCCACCUCACUUAUUACACAGCAGGCUGAUUAUUACCCACGUAACUCGCCAACUGGCUCUGCUUGCCCCACGCAGGCCAUUCAACCCUUGUGGUGCAAGUCCAAGAGAGAGCAAAUCCACCCAUUGCUGCCUCUUAACCCUUUCAAUACAAGAGAGGGCAAAUCCACCCAUUGCCACUCUCUUCACCCUUUCAGUACAAGAGAGGGCAAAUCCACCCAUUGCCACCUCUUAACCAUUUCAAUACAAGGCGGGGUAAAUCUGCCCAUUGCUGCCUCUUAACCCUUUCAAUACAAGAGAGGGCAAAUCUGCCCAUUGCCGCCUCUUAACCCUUUCAAUACAAGACAGGGCAAAUCUGCCCAUUGCCUUCUCUUAACCCUUUUAGUACAAGAGAGGGCAAAUCCGCCCAUUGCCACUUCUUAACCCUUUCAAUACAAGAGAGGGCAAAUCCACCCAUUGCCGUCUCUUAACCCUUUCAGUACAAGAGAGGGCAAAUCCACCCAUUGCCACCUCUUCACCCUUUCAGUACAAGAGAGAGCAAAUCUGCCCAUUGCCUUCUCUUAACCCUUUUAGUACAAGAGAGGGCAAAUCCGCCCAUUGCUGACUCUUAACCCUUUCAGUACAAGACAGGGCAAAUCCACCCAUUGCCGCCUCUUAACCCUUUCAGUACAUGACAGGGCAAAGCCGCUCAUUGCCGCCUCUUAACCCUUUCAGUACAAUAGAGGGCAAAUGCACCAAUUGCUGCCUCUUAACCCUUUCAAUUCAAGACAGGGCAAAUCCUCCCAUUGCUGCCUCUUUUAACCUAUUCAGUUUAAGAGGGAGAACAUUCACAAAUACAAUUAACUAUUUGCUGUAAGAUUAGCGGGCAUCUCACUUAGCGCCAUUCACACUGCUGAACUCUUGUUUAUCAGUGACAAAGUGUCGUACAUCAAUCAGGGACAUUCCACUUGUUUCCAUGGUGAUUGCUCCACUUUUAGUACAUUGUUCCCCUGCUCCCCGUCACAUUCUGGCAGAGGGACUGAGGCUGAAAGUGUUAGUGAGACUGGGGCGAGAUACAUUGUAUAUCUGCCUAUCGGGGUAUGACGCCUCGCGUGUGCAGAUUCCGUGUCAAUGGUGGACGUUUCUUUCCUGGAUCCGAUCCGCUGCGAAUCCAAUUCGCUUUCUCUGGCCUAGAAUUUUGCAGAUCCCAAGUCAUUUCUUCACAGCACAUGGUUUGUAAAUAAACCUUGUGAUCUUUAUUUAUGCAUUAUUCACAUAUAGCGCUCUGGUAGAUAUAAUGCCCAGGAGAUCAUAGUGAUUGAUUCACUGUGAGUCCGCUAAGCAAGAUUUACCCUUGAAUUGGCUGCAAACGUAGGAGCCAAGAUGAGGAAUGGCUUUUAAUUUAGGCAGAGGAGAGAAAUUAGUGUCAAAAAAAGCAUCAUUGGUCCUGUCCCCCUCUCUCUAAUAGGCAAAUAUUAAUGAUGGGAACUUUAAGUAAAGUGUUCAUGUUAAGGGUGAUAUAUUCCUUGUAUUUACCACGAUCUUAUUUCAGAGCUGCCUGCAGACCUUUUCAGGAAGUGAGGCCCAGAGGAUUCAAAACACAUUCAGGAAGUGAGGCCCAGAUAAUUCAAUAUACAUUCAGGAAGUGAGGCCCAGAUAAUUCAAUAUACAUUCAGGAAGUGAGACCCGGACAUUCAGGAAGUGAGGCCCGGAAGAUUCAAUAUACAUUCAGGAAGUGAGGCCCGGAUAAUGUAAUAUACAUUCUGGAAGUGAGGCCCAGAGGGUUCAAAAUACAUUUAGGAAGUGUGGCCCGGAAAUUCAGGUAGUGAGGCCCAGAGGAUUCAAUAUACGUUCAGGAAGUGAGGCCCAGAGGAUUCAAUAUACAUUCAGGAAGUGAGGCCCAGAGGAUUCAAUAUACAUUCAGGAAGUGAGGCCCAGAUAAUUCAAUAUACAUUCAGGAAGUGAGGCCCAGAGGAUUCAAUAUACAUUCAGGAAGGGAGGCUCAGAUGAUUCACUAUGUAUUCAGGAAGUGAGGCCCAGAGGAAUUCUAAAUUAGACUGUGCAAUCAAGGAAGUAUAAACAUUAGAUGACUCUUUACAGGAUGUGUUUCGGAAAGCUGUGUAAGUCACAUGCAGGGAGGUGUGUCUAGGGCUGCGUAAACAAAGUGAUUUAACUCCUAAAUGGCAGAAAAUUGAGCAAUGAGACUGCAGGGGCAUUAUCUAUAUAUCAAAACUGCUUUAUUAAGCUAAAGUUGUUUUGGUGACUAUAGUGUCCCUUUAAGUGGAAAUGUCCAGUACUCGUAUUAAUGCUCCACAGAUCUCAACUGUAUCAAUAAACUCCAGCGAAAGAAAGAUACUGCAUAGAAUGACCCCAUUCUAGGACAAAGAAUUAAUCUUUAACUGCCACUCACAACUGAUGUAAAGAAUACUUGAUCACAGGUGGUAAGUUCCUUUGAUUUUGCAUCUUCUCUUCUCAAAUAACAUGUUAAUCAAGCUUUAUUUGAGACUCCCGGGGUUAACACAGAAGGUGAUUUGGGCUGUCUCCCAUGAUUCUCAGACUGUCUCUGGACCAGAUGUUGACCAUCCCGUGUUCACAACUGAUGUCCACUGGGUUGAUGACUAAGGAAUGAGUGACUCAUAUGCUCAAAUGGGGGGUACGUUGUAGUUUUUAAAUUGUAGCAAAUUCUACAGUGCCACAUUCAAUAUAUAAAUGCCAUAACAAGACUUUUUUCACAGAGACAGAAAAAGACAGUGUGUUUUGAUGGCCUUGUCCCAAAGCUUGCAAUCUAAUGAAAACACUCUGCUGAAAUCAAGAGGCUGGGAAGCAUAUAUUGCUGCUUCUUGGAGAAAACAAGUGAAUAGAAAAUAGCGUCUCUGAAUACGCCAAGACUAAAAUGGUUCAUGGAUCCCGAGUCUAUACCAGCUGCCGUGUGUAUUACCCAACUGUUAGCAAGAAAGAGGCAUGGUUAUAAAAAACGAAUGGAUUCAUUAUUUUACAUCUCUGCUAUUUACUAAAAUAAAACGAAAUGACCCACGUCACCCAGAACACUUCAUCUCAAUGAAGAAUCUCAGUGAAGUGGUCUUGUGUGUUUAAACCUUUGAGAUAAGACAAGGAAGGGCAAUAUUUAUCUUGACAGGUUCAACAUGCCGCCCUUGCUGAACCGACCUAGUAAAACAUGAUCGUAUCAUGCGGAAGGUCAUAGAAAAGCACUAAAUGAAAUGCCUUUCUAUGAGUAGUAGUAUUGGAAGCAUGCGGCGCUCACCAUGCAAGCGCAUUAGGUCCCAAUUGCUCCUCUGUGAUUACCACUGGAUUGGACCAUUGCCAGAGGAGACCAUACUUCUUCUGUGACAUCACAGGAGAGGUGAGCAGCGCCAACAGAGCCUUAGCAGUGAUAAAAGGUAAGAAUCUCUAUUUUAUUAACGUGGGGGGCUACUCUAAUACAAACCUGUAUUCCUAGUGCUAUAGCGAUCCUUUAACAUUAAACUGAGCUCAUUGUACUGAGAGUGUAGGUACUUCCCGACUUUACUCAAUGUACGAGUUUCUGUUAAUGUGAAUGUUCCAAAAACAACAGGUAAAUUGUAAAAUCUAAUCGCUUUGGAAGAAACGGCUUUGGAAUCAGCAGAACUCAAUAGGGAAGUCAAAAUCCGCAGUGAAUUGAGUUCACACCUUUACGUUCUACUCUAGGUCCAAACACAAAAUCAGCCCACAUUGAGAAUUCCAUUUCUAACAGAACCGUUACUAGAUGGGUUUUAAAAAGGCUAAACACACUCUAACAAAUACUAAGACGUUUGCAUCCAUCUCUUACAAAGAAAUCAAUCUUCUCGUUUUUUUAUUUUUGUAAUACUUUGUGUUUUCAUUCAUUUACGCACAGUAGAUGUGUCUCAGCGAGGGUACAUGGUGUUUUCGAAUAUUUAAUGUGAUUUCUUUUUUUAUAGGCUGUAUACAAAAUUUAUAAGGUUGUUUAAAAGUGGAUGUCAUUGUUGAGAAUGUGGAAUUGUUAUAAAUAAACAUUAUAGAGGGAAAAAGAGGUUUAAAUUAAAAAGAACAUUAUACAUACAUGUUUUUAUUCUGAUCUUUAUGGCUAUAAAUAAUUAAAAAGUUGUAGUUUCACAGACAAUCUGGCAGAAUAUUAUGUCUCUAUUUAUUAUAGGGCGCCCAUCGAUCAUCCUUCUCUAGACACAUGAAUAGGAAGCGCGGAAUAGAAUGCCGAAUGAAGAAUAGAAAUAUAUAUCUGUUCUCAUCCCUCUGACUUUCCUGAGCGUGCCGCUGGCUUGCUUUUUAUUUAUCUUGUUUCAUUUUGUCUGCAUGUUGAUUGUCUGAAUGGAAUGAUCUGCGGCAGGAGAGGAGCUGGGCCGAAUGUUGGCAUUGGGAGAGACUGGGGCGCAGUAAAUGUGGUGCAAUCACCACCGACCACGUCUAAAAAUGAAUAGUUUACAAAAAACAUAUCUUUAAAAUAUUAUUUUAGGCCUGGACUGAUACAUAUGUGCUUUUUCCAAGUCGUGGUUUGGAUGAGAUUUUGAGAUCUAAUUUACAUUUCUGCUUUUACUACUUGGAUAGAUGGACACAGAACUAGGUGAGGGCGGCUUCUGGUGUCCCCCAAAUACCCAUAAUCCUUUGCAAACCUCCUGACUUAUGGCCAGUUAUAGGUUGAGAUUUAGCUAAGUGUCACCUACACUUUUACAGUUAUUUUUUGUCAAGUUUUUGGUUCAAUUCAUUAAAUCUGUUGGAUUUUUAUUUUUUUAAUCCGUUGCUCUUUUUGUGCCCUAACCAUCAUUUGUGGAAAUGCACAUUUUUUUUUUUUUUAGCGAUACAACAGAUUUAUGAAUUUAUUUUUCAACAGAAAUAACGACUGUUGCAAUUGACUUUGAGGAAAGCCGUCACUUUUUAGAUCACUUUUAUGAAUGCAAUUAACAUAAUGAUGGAAUGUAAUCAC
rnacentral:lncRNA from 1 species